CUGUAUUUCCGCCGGCGCCGAGCUGUUGGGGCGUGUCUUGCUGUGCCGCUGCCAGUAGCGGAGUCCCACGCCGCCGGGGUCCAUCUCCCGCAAUCCCCAGACAUCCGCACCUUCCUGCGCUGUCGGCUCUGUCAGCGCUGCUGUUCCGCGUCGUAGGUCGCGGCGCCCGAGGCCGUGCGGACUCUGCGGCUGUCGGAGAAGCAGAUGGAGACUGUCCCUUGGACUGCUUUGCGGGCCGCGCGGCAGGCAGCACCCGCAUCUGUCCCGCAGAAUCCUGAUCCGCCGCGUCGGAGGCCGCCCCUGCGUGCAGGGGUGAGGCCUGCUGGGAAUGUCUCGUGAUUGCGGUUCCACGUAUGUGAGAGGCGACCUCAGGGAGAACCUGGAUUGGGAGGUCCCAGGUCAGCCUUAGAUCUGGAGCUGAUGAAGUAAGUCCCAAGGCCAUGAGUCAGGGGCCCUCGGGAUUACUUCGGAUCUGGGUUUGCUGAUACGUCUCUCCAAGAUUCUCCUGGUGUUAGCAGACACGAGAGGAGCAGAGGAGGGCAGGGAGACCCCGCAGGACGCAUCCUUAGAGCACCUCCUCUUGCUCUCCUUCGGAGCAUCAUGGAUCAGCUCCGCACUCCACACGGGAGCUCAGAGGGCAGGGGCUGGGGCUGGGGUCCACGUCAGCGGGCUCUGAGUCUUGACACCAGGGCCCUGAGAAGCCAUGGACAGGGAAAGCCAGCCCCCGUCCCUCUGCUGUGCCUGGAAUGACCUUAACGACCAAGACUUUUUCUCUUGAAUUGCAGCUGCCUAUCACUUUCCUUUCUGCCACCCGUUCAAUAAACCUUACGGACUCGC